CGCCAUCUUGGACAGAAGAUUUGCUUCGGACUGCAGUUGGUGAACUUUCGACAGAGUUUUGUGCCUAAGAUUCACUCAAAUUUGCCGUAGAUCUAUACGUGUAGACUAAUUUUACACUCAAGUUUACGAGUUAGGUCAACAUUUACAUUACAAACGCGCCGAAUGCCAUUUCGUGGGUCGAAGAAAUCUCUGACUGUCGUCUGCAAGGAAGUUUUUGGCGCGAAACUACCAACACAGCAGCGAACUUGAAUUUGCCGUGUUGUGUUUGUUUUUGACUUGAGAUUGUCAGUCAUCAGAAUAAGAAAUGGAGAAUUCUGCUGCUGGGAAAAGAAAACUGAGAAGACGCGGACAGAAACGGCCUUUGACAGAAGAUGAAGACAAUGGCAGUUGUACGUCAGUGAAGAAAAAACCCAACCAUGACCCAAAAACAUCUUCUUCCAACACUGAAGUGGACAAGAAAAGCAGGAAGAC